rnacentral:rRNA from 1 species
UUCUGGCACCGAAUACAUUAGCAUGGGAUAAUGGAAUAGGACCCUGUCCUCCUAUUUUCAGUUGGUUUUGGCAGCGCGAGGACUAGGGUAAUGAUUAAUAGGGAUAGUUGGGGGCAUUAAUAUUUAAUUGUCAGAGGUGAAAUUCUUGGAUUUAUGAAAGAUUAACUUCUGCGAAAGCAUCUGCCAAGGAUGUUUUCAUUAAUCAAGAACGAAAGUUAGGGGAUCGAAGACGAUCAGAUACCGUCGUAGUCUUAACCAUAAACGAUGCCGACCAGCGAUUAGGAGACGUUGAAUACAAAACACCACCAUCGGUGCGGUCGUCCUUGGCGUCGGUCUUUCGGGGCCGGCGCGGGGACGGCUUAGCCCGGUGGCACCGGUGAAUGACUCCCCUAGCAGCUUGUGAGA